GACAGAGCCAGUAUAAACACGGUCCCUCGUGAGUCAAGCGUCUGGGAUAAGUGAACAAACACUGGGCUGAAAACCUGGGACUGGCUGGUUGUUUAAGAGCUAUCACCUGCUCCUUCGUUCUCAUUGUAGCCCAGGGCUGGCUGGGUCAGGGGGUGCAUGUCUCAUCCAGAACCACACAGAGGCCAACAUUUUAUCAACGCUCACCAACCAAGACCCUCCACUUUUCCACCAGUUUGUCCACCGGUGAAAAGGAGAAGCCAGCCAAGAACCAGCAGCUUCUGGCUACCUUGAUCAGAAGGUUGAUGAAGGCAAUGAAACAAAGAUGGAAAAACACAUCACACAGGCCCUUACCAGAUGCCAGCAUCUUGAUAUUGGACUUCCCAGCCUUCAGAACUAUAAGGCUCCAGUCAAGCAACCCACCUUAUCAAGUGGACCAGGCACAGCUCCUACUUAUCCCUGAGUAGUGGGUAUCAGUUUCCUGCUAACCUCGGAAUUGUUCAAAGCCCAUCACAUUCUCCUGCAGGAACCAGGGAGCACCUCACCCUCUUGUUGCUACAAAGCUUGCCACCCACAGCCCCUGCCUGUUCACCCUGCUCCUGAGGGCAACCCCUGUAUGGCCAGCAUCCCAUGCUGUGUUCACCUCUCCCAAGCUGCGAGUGUAUGUGAAUAAUAACUGCCGUCAAUCGCAUCUGUUAAGCAUCGAGUGUAAUGUGUUUGGUCAUCCUCAUAAUUCUAGUGUGGAAUGUCUCCCUCACCAAUGGGGUGAACAGGAGGGAAUGAAAACAAUGUGUAAAAUAUUUAGACACCGCAAGAUACAUAUUUAGAGCCUGGCAAAUGUUAGUUAAGGCCAUUAUUGCUAUUAUUUUGCAAAAGGAUAAUAAUUUGGUUUUCUUUUAACAAAAUUUGUUUGGGCAGAAUGCUUAGCUCAUAGUGUUAUUCUUAGGUUCCUCCAAACAGCUUUUCUGGAAUUUUGUUUCCCUCAUUAGCAAUUACAAAGAUAUGCUAAUGCUCUGCACCAAGUGGCAGCUACAUGCUUGAGACCAACACUGAAAAUCAGUCAUGGAAUCACUGCAUAUCUGAACAAGGGCCACGAGAGGAGGCACAGAUGGGUCAACUGACUUGAGCAGAGCCACCCAGCAAAUUCAGCGUCGGAGUAUGGUAACUAGAUCUCCUGAUCCAACCAUCCUUCCCUGCACCCUCCCAUCUAGGCUAAUGAGGAGAAAUGUAAUCACGGUGGUAAUUGCAGGCAAAGAUGAGCAUCACUUGGUAAAGCAAUAUGUGUACUUGAGUUGGCCAUAUGGAAAAUCCAGUGCAGGAUAUGGGGGUGAAUGGUCAGUUGCUGUGUGUCAUUGGUGGGAUGGAAUCUAUGGCCUUCUUGGCUAUUCUUUACAUGAAACAUUUCCUGGGGGUGAUGGUCCAGUUAAAAGUCCUCUUAAAGAUAAAAUAAAACUAACUCAAACCAGUAUGUCAUGCUUCACCAGCUGGUGUUUCAACCAGGGAAGCCCAUGCCAAGAUGAGAAAGAAGUCUACCCUUCCCAUUGCUGAGCUGUGGCUCCUCCUUAUCAGUUCCUAGUAGGAGAAGCUAUGUUCCCCCUAGGCUAGAGGACUUCACAUUCUGGACACUGGCGGCUCAGGGGAGCUCUGUUGUACCACCACUGUGGCCCCAGAACCUGCUGUUGCUGUCCAAAUCCGGGGAGUCUAAGGAAAUGUCCCAUUCUCACUGCUGCUAAUAGUGAUUAGCAAGCUAAUGCAAUAUGUCCAGCUUUACCACACUCUCCCACUGUCCCCAGUGGCUGCUUUUUAUGGCUAUGCAAGUAAACACCAUCAGCCUGAGAAGGAGUGGCAUAAACUGAGCCUUUAUCUCUGGUCCUUUCCCUGCCCCAUGGUGCAGAUCCCACUUUGGGCUCAGCCAAGAGUGGGUCAUAUCAUAAUUGGAUUAGAUCCCAAUGUUAUUGUUUCAUAGGAACUCACACAACCAUUUCCUCAGGGUGCAAGGCUGCCAUCAGUAUGGCUGGGCUGGUGAAUUUUCUGGCAUCAGGAACCUAUGAGACCUAGAACUCCUGUCACCCUCUUAUGCCACCACACCUUCUUCCAUGGUAAAUGCUAGCUCAUUCAAUUAAUUAAAAAAUACCAGCAAGGUGCUUUUUAUUUAGUGCACACUUAUAUAGGCACUAUGAAUAUAGGAGGAAAGAUGAAAAAUUCCAGCCUUCACAAAGCCAAUAUUUCCAGUGUUACUGCC
rnacentral:lncRNA from 1 species